CCUACGGGAGGCAGCAGUGAGGAAUAUUGGUCAAUGGACGCAAGUCUGAACCAGCCAUGCCGCGUGCAGGAAGACGGCUCUAUGAGUUGUAAACUGCUUUUGUACGAGGGUAAACGCAGAUACGCGUAUCUGUCUGAAAGUAUCGUACGAAUAAGGAUCGGCGAACUCCGUGCCAGCAGCGGAGGUAAUACGGAGGAUUCAAGCGUUAUCCGGAUUUAUUGGGGUUAAAGGGUGCGUAGGCGGUCGGAUAAGUUAGAGGUGAAAUCCCGAGGCUCAAAUUCGGAAUUGCCUCUGAUACUGUUCGGCUGGAGAGUAGUUGCGGUAGGCGGAAUGUAUGGUGUAGCGGUGAAAUGCUUAGAGAUCAUACAGAACACCGAUUGCGAAGGCAGCUUACCAAGCUACUUCUGACGUUGAGGCACGAAAGCGUGGGGAGCAAACAGGAUUAGAUACCCGGGUAGUC
rnacentral:rRNA from 1 species